UACCAGCACCCCGAGUGGUCGGGACGAUUAUUGGGCCUAAAGCAUCCGUAGCCGGUUCUGCAAGUCCCCCGUUAAAUCCAGCUGCUCAACAGAUGGGCCGCGGAGGAUACUACAGAGCUAGGAGGCAGGAGAGGCAAGCGGUACUCAGUGGGUAGGGGUAAAAUCCGUUGAUCCAUUGAAGACCACCAGUGGCGAAGGCGGCUGCCAGAAUGCGCUCGACGGUGAGGGAUGAAAGCUGGGGGAGCAAACCGGG
rnacentral:rRNA from 1 species